rnacentral:pre_miRNA from 1 species
UUCCGAUUAUAAGUAGUAGUGCCGCAGGUAACUGGAGAUUGAUUACCUACUGCCUCCUGCUUAAAAUUGGAA